rnacentral:rRNA from 2 species
CCUGGCGGCAGUAGCGCGGUGGUCCCACCUGACCCCAUGCCGAACUCAGAAGUGAAACGCCGUAGCGCCGAUGGUAGUGUAGGGUCUCCCCAUGCGAGAGUAGGGAACUGCCAGGC